rnacentral:lncRNA from 10 species
UUUUCUAUUUUUCAUUUAAUAUUGAACUGGAGCAUUUUUGAGCAUUUCAUUCAGUAUCUGCUAUCUAAUCUUUUUGUUUUGUUGUGUGUUUUCUUUCUCGGGUUUUGGAAUACUUCUGUAGGAUAUGUUUUCUUAGAUAACAUGUAACAGGAAGGGAAUCAAAUUCAAAGGAAAAAAUGUUUAAAUCAUCUUCUCAAGACCAAUAGUAUAUUCUGACUGAAAGAAUCUCCAUAUGACUAUCAUUCAAGCACUUGAUGAAACAGAAUUUAUUGAGCACCUGCUAAGCCUGGCAAUAUGACAGGCACUGGGAAAAUGAGAUAAAAGCACAGUCUUAUGUUCAAAGAUCACAAUGUGGGGUAGAGGAGAAUAACUAUAUUUAGACCAUCAGAACACAGUAUACAGGUGCUGUAAGGGAGAUGUAUACUGGGAGACAAGGGAACAGAGGGAGAAUUUAAAUCGUCAUUGAUAUAGGAGUUAAAGAGAAAUAUUUAGGCAGAUAGUGAGGGUAAGGAAGUCCUUGGUAAGGUUUUCCUUUUAAU